rnacentral:rRNA from 1 species
AUUGAACGCUGGCGGCAGGCCUAACACAUGCAAGUCGAGCGGAGCGGCGGACGGGCGAGUAAUGCCUAGGAAUCUGCAUGGUAGUGGGGGAUAACGUCCGGAAACGGGCGCUAAUACCGCAUACUAUCAGAUGAGCCUAGGUCGGAUUAGCUAGUUGGUGGGGUAAAGGCCUACCAAGGCGAUGAUCCGUAGCUGGGCUGAGAGGAUGAUCAGUCACACUGGAACUGAGACACGGUCCAGACUCCUACGGGAGGCAGCAGUGGGGAAUAUUGGACAAUGGGCGAAAGCCUGAUGCAGCCAUGCCACGGUGGUGAAGAAGGUCUUCGGAUUGUAAAGCACUUUAAGUUGGGAGGCGUUACCAACAGAAUAAGCACCGGCUAACUUCGUGCCAGCAGCCGCGGUAAUUC